AAUCCUGGAAGACUAGAUCAUCUCAGCCAACCCUCAGCUGGAGGCUUUUGGAAAUGCCAAGACCGUUAGGAACGACAACUCCUCUCGCUUUGGAAAAUUCAUCAGAAUUCACUAUGGAACUAUAGGAAAAGUGGCUUCCGCUGAUUUUGAGACUUAUCUCCUGGAAAAAUCCAGGGCGACAUUCCAAUUGUCAGCAGAGAGGAGCUACCACAUCUUCUACCAGAUCAUGUCCAACAAGAAGCCUGAGCUCAUAGGU